AUGGUGAGCGACGCAGCUGGUUCGCCGCCCCAACCCAGAGGUGUCGAGGCAACAGGGAACCCGGUGGAAGUCCGGGACUGCCCCGCAGCGGUGAGUGGGAACGAACGCCAUCCCUCGCGGCACACGCCGCGUGGAGAAGCACUUCGCCUUCGGGCGUGGGAAGCGAUGGCCACUAGGCGACCUCGGUCGAGCCCACGAGUCCGAAGACCUGCCAGCGCACCGUGCCCGCC
rnacentral:ncRNA from 2 species